GACCCUCCUUGCCAAGGGUUCACCCCUGUUUUAUGUUUCAAGAAGACAAGAUUCACGUUUCCUUGAAGAAGCCUUUAUGUGAUUUUUAGGAGGAAGUGUUUCAGCAAGUUUCAAUGUCAAACUUUAUCUACAAUACAGAUUACAGCUGGAAUGUAGGACUGUUCCCAGUUCAUCAACCCUGUAGACCAGUGUUUCUUAACCAGGGUUCCUUUAGCUGUUACUAAACUACAAUUUUCAGGAUAGGGGAUAAGAUGUCUGAUCACGGGGGGUCCUGACGCUGGGGACCCCCGCAAUUUCUGCUGUGGCACCCCAGUCAUCUGAUGCACUGAGUGAACUUCGCUCCGUGCCGGUUGACUGGCGAUGCGGUGCCGGAGGCUCGUGACAUCACUGCCACGCCCCCUCGUGACUUCAUGGUCACGCCCCCUCACUGCUGCCUCCUAUAGGCUGAAUGCUCCACCAAUCAGACUGUACUUACUCCCUGUGAUGUCAUCAGUCUCUGGGCAGAUUUCCUCUGUCAUGAUGUUUCCUCACAGCUGCUCCUCUUAUAUCUUUAUAGAACCUUCCCAUACCCAUAAUGCAGCAUGAAGGGGCUCGGUGAAGGUGGUGGUGAAGGUGUGUAAGUGUCUGAUGGGGUCACACAGCUCAUAAAAGGACAGCUGCCCCUAUAUCUGCCCCCAUAUAUAUCCUGACUCUAUUACUGGAGAUCCUGUGAGGGUGCCAUUAAAAUGUACAACUUGUCCUGCAAUAAACGAAAAGGGCGUAUAUGACUGUGCGAACGGAAACAAUAAACAAGUGACAUCUCUAAGAAAAAAGAUGAAGGAAUCGCGACGGAAGAAAGAGAUAAAGAGGUUAUAA